ACGAAAGAGGAACUCGAAGGGCGCGGGGGCAGAUUGUUUACCACUACUGUCACCUGGGAAGCUCUGCUGCUGCUGCUGCUGCUAAGUCGCUUCAGUCGUGUCCGACUCUGUGCGACCCCAUAGACGGCAGCCCACUAGGCUCCUCUGUCCCUGAGAUUCUCCAGGCAAGAACACUGGAGUGGGUUGCCAUUUCCUUCUCGAAUGCAUGAAAGUAAAAAGUGAAAGUGAAGUCGCUCAGUCAUGCCCGACUCUUGGUGACCCCAUGGACUGCAGCCUACCAGGCUCCUCCGUCCAUGGGAUUUUCCAGGCAAGAGUACUGGAGUGGGUUGCCAUUGCCUUCUCUGGGGAAGCCCUGGCUCAGUCAAUAAAGAAUCUGUCUAUAAUGGAGGAGACUGGGGUUUAAUGCAGAUAGAUAGAUAAUUACCAUCCAUUGUUUGAACUUGCCUAUUCACAUUAUUAAUGGUGUCUUUAAAAUUAACUUAAAAUCUUUUGGAGUAGUUUUAGAUUUACAGAAAAGUUGCAAACCGAGGCACAUUUGUGAAAGCUGAAGCACGACAGUGCUCUGUUACUGUUCCCGGCACUCCAGGCUUCAGGUCACAUGCUGCCCCAGGGUCCUCUUUCUGCCCUGGAUCCCAUGACAGCUAUGAGGAGAACUCCUCAGGUGUUUGUAGCACAUCCCUGAUUUGGGGUUUGUCUGCUGUGUUUUCUUCUAGUUGGACAGGGGUUGUGGGUUUUUGGAAAGAAGACCCCAGAAGUGAGGUGGCCCUCUUGUCACAUCACAUCAGGGCAGCUGACGUUUGAACGACAUCUUGGGGGCCGUCGGCCUGGUCACCUGGCUCAGGUGGUGUCUGCCAAGGAGAGUUGCUCCUUGUCCUGUUCUCCAGUCUCUUUGGCAGCCACUCAGGGAGAGGCAGCCCACCCUGCUGGGGGUGGGAGCUAAGCUCAGGGAAGACCCACCGUCUUCUGGAAUUCCAUGAGGAGGACGGACUUGUGGGUGUGUGUCUGCACUCUGGAGGGGACCCAGCUCUGUGCUGUUUGGCUGGCUGCUCAUCUGUUCCAGCCUUAACCACCAGGACAUCAUC
ensembl:lncRNA